rnacentral:rRNA from 1 species
UACAGAGGGUGCAAGCGUUGUUCGGAAUCAUUGGGCGUAAAGGGCGUGUAGGCGGUUUGUCGCGUCGGGAGUGAAAUCCACUGGCUUAACUGGUGGCUUGCUUUCGAUACGGGCAGACUGGAGGUAUGCAGGGGAGAACGGAAUUCCUGGUGUAGCGGUGAAAUGCGCAGAUAUCAGGAGGAACACCGGUGGCGAAGGCGGUUCUCUGGGCAUGUCCUGACGCUGAGGAGCGAAAGUGUGGGGAGCGAACAGG